rnacentral:rRNA from 1 species
AUGAACGCUGGCGGCGUGCCUAAUACAUGCAAGUCGAGCGAACAGACGAGGAGCUUGCUCCUCUGACGUAAGCGGCGGACGGGUGAGUAACACGUGGAUAACCUACCUAUAAGACUGGGAUAACUUCGGGAAACCGGAGCUAAUACCGGAUAAUAUAUUGAACCGCAUGGUUCAAUAGUGAAAGACGGUUUUGCUGUCACUUAUAGAUGGAUCCGCGCCGCAUUAGCUAGUUGGUAAGGUAACGGCUUACCAAGGCAACGAUGUGUAGCCGACCUGAGAGGGUGAUCGGCCACACUGGAACUGAGACACGGUCCAGACUACUACGGGAGGCAGCAGUAGGGAAUCUUCCGCAAUGGGCGAAAGCCUGACGGAGCAACGCCGCGUGAGUGAUGAAGGUCUUCGGAUCGUAAAACUCUGUUAUUAGGGAAGAACAAAUGUGUAAGUAACUAUGCACGUCUUGACGGUACCUAAUCAGAAAGCCACGGCUAACUACGUG